ensembl:lncRNA
GAUGACAGAGGGAUGACAGAGGGUGACAGAGGGAUGACAGAGGGAUGACAGAGGGAUGACAGAGGGAUGACAGAGGGGUGACAGAGGGGUGACAGAGGGAUGACAGAGGGGUGACAGAGGGAUGACGGAGGGGUGAAGAGGGAUGACAGAGGGGUGACCAAGGGGUGACAGAGGGAUGACAGAGGGGUGACAGAGGGAUGACAGAGGGGUGACAGAGGGAUGACAGAGG